UACGUAGGGUGCGAGCGUUGUCCGGAAUUAUUGGGCGUAAAGAGCUCGUAGGCGGUUUGUCGCGUCUGCCGUGAAAGUCCGGGGCUCAACUCCGGAUCUGCGGUGGGUACGGGCAGACUAGAGUGAUGUAGGGGAGACUGGAAUUCCUGGUGUAGCGGUGAAAUGCGCAGAUAUCAGGAGGAACACCGAUGGCGAAGGCAGGUCUCUGGGCAUUAACUGACGCUGAGGAGCGAAAGCACGGGGAGCGAACAGG
rnacentral:rRNA from 1 species